GAUGAACGCUGGCGGCGUGCCUAAUACAUGCAAGUCGAGCGAACGGACGAGAAGCUUGCUUCUCUGAUGUUAGCGGCGGACGGGUGAGUAACACGUGGAUAACCUACCUAUAAGACUGGGAUAACUUCGGGAAACCGGAGCUAAUACCGGAUAAUAUUUUGAACCGCAUGGUUCAAAAGUGAAAGACGGUCUUGCUGUCACUUAUAGAUGGAUCCGCGCUGCAUUAGCUAGUUGGUAAGGUAACGGCUUACCAAGGCAACGAUGCAUAGCCGACCUGAGAGGGUGAUCGGCCACACUGGAACUGAGACACGGUCCAGACUCCUACGGGAGGCAGCAGUAGGGAAUCUUCCGCAAUGGGCGAAAGCCUGACGGAGCAACGCCGCGUGAGUGAUGAAGGUCUUCGGAUCGUAAAACUCUGUUAUUAGGGAAGAACAUAUGUGUAAGUAACUGUGCACAUCUUGACGGUACCUAAUCAGAAAGCCACGGCUAACUACGUGCCAGCAGCCGCGGUAAUACGUAGGUGGCAAGCGUUAUCCGGAAUUAUUGGGCGUAAAGCGCGCGUAGGCGGUUUUUUAAGUCUGAUGUGAAAGCCCACGGCUCAACCGUGGAGGGUCAUUGGAAACUGGAAAACUUGAGUGCAGAAGAGGAAAGUGGAAUUCCAUGUGUAGCGGUGAAAUGCGCAGAGAUAUGGAGGAACACCAGUGGCGAAGGCGACUUUCUGGUCUGUAACUGACGCUGAUGUGCGAAAGCGUGGGGAUCAAACAGGAUUAGAUACCCUGGUAGUCCACGCCGUAAACGAUGAGUGCUAAGUGUUAGGGGGUUUCCGCCCCUUAGUGCUGCAGCUAACGCAUUAAGCACUCCGCCUGGGGAGUACGACCGCAAGGUUGAAACUCAAAGGAAUUGACGGGGACCCGCACAAGCGGUGGAGCAUGUGGUUUAAUUCGAAGCAACGCGAAGAACCUUACCAAAUCUUGACAUCCUUUGACAACUCUAGAGAUAGAGCCUUCCCCUUCGGGGGACAAAGUGACAGGUGGUGCAUGGUUGUCGUCAGCUCGUGUCGUGAGAUGUUGGGUUAAGUCCCGCAACGAGCGCAACCCUUAAGCUUAGUUGCCAUCAUUAAGUUGGGCACUCUAAGUUGACUGCCGGUGACAAACCGGAGGAAGGUGAGGAUGACGUCAAAUCAUCAUGCCCCUUAUGAUUUGGGCUACACACGUGCUACAAUGGACAAUACAAAGGGCAGCGAAACCGCGAGGUCAAGCAAAUCCCAUAAAGUUGUUCUCAGUUCGGAUUGUAGUCUGCAACUCGACUACAUGAAGCUGGAAUCGCUAGUAAUCGUAGAUCAGCAUGCUACGGUGAAUACGUUCCCGGGUCU
rnacentral:rRNA from 1 species